AUUGAACACUGGCGGCAUGCCUUACACAUGCAAGUCGAACGGCAGCACGGGAGCAAUCCUGGUGGCGAGUGGCGAACGGGUGAGUAAUAUAUCGGAACGUGCCCAGUCGUGGGGGAUAACGUAGCGAAAGCUACGCUAAUACCGCAUACUAUCUAUGGAUGAAAGCGGGGGAUCGCAAGACCUCGCGCGAUUGGAGCGGCCGAUAUCAGAUUAGGUAGUUGGUGAGGUAAAGGCUCACCAAGCCGACGAUCUGUAGCUGGUCUGAGAGGAUGAUCAGCCACACUGGGACUGAGACACGGCCCAGACUCCUACGGGAGGCAGCAGUGGGGAAUAUUGGACAAUGGGCGAAAGCCUGAUCCAGCAAUGCCGCGUGAGUGAUGAAGGCCUUC
rnacentral:rRNA from 1 species